rnacentral:rRNA from 1 species
AGCAGCUGGAAACGGCUGGUAAUACCGCAUAAGCGCACAAUGUUGCAUGACAUGGUGUGAAAAACUCCGGUGGUAUAAGAUGGACCCGCGUCUGAUUAGCUAGUUGGUGAGAUAACAGCCCACCAAGGCGACGAUCAGUAGCCGACCUGAGAGGGUGACCGGCCACAUUGGGACUGAGACACGGCCCAGACUCCUACGGGAGGCAGCAGUGGGGAAUAUUGCACAAUGGAGGAAACUCUGAUGCAGCGACGCCGCGUGAGUGAAGAAGUAAUUCGUUAUGUAAAGCUCUAUCAGCAGGGAAGAUAGUGACGGUACCUGACUAAGAAGCUCCGGCUAAAUACGUGCCAGCAGCCGCGGUAAUACGUAUGGAGCAAGCGUUAUCCGGAUUUACUGGGUGUAAAGGGAGUGUAGGUGGCCAUGCAAGUCAGAAGUGAAAAUCCGGGGCUCAACCCCGGAACUGCUUUUGAAACUGUAAGGCUAGAGUGCAGGAGGGGUGAGUGGAAUUCCUAGUGUAGCGGUGAAAUGCGUAGAUAUUAGGAGGAACACCAGUGGCGAA